GACGGGGGAUGCAAGUGUUAUCCGGAAUCACUGGGCGUAAAGCGUCUGCAGGUGGUUUCCUAAGUCCACUGUUAAACCUUGAGGCUCAACCUCAAAUCUGCAUUGGAAACUAGGAGACUUGAGUAUAGUAGGGGUAGAGGGAAUUUCCAGUGGAGCGGUGAAAUGCGUAGAUAUUGGAAAGAACACCGACGGCGAAGGCACUCUACUGGGCUAUUACUGACACUCAGAGACGAAAGCUAGGGGAGCAAAUGGG
rnacentral:rRNA from 1 species